CAGCCAUUUUUACAAGCGAGUGUAAACAUUGAGUUUGGGGGCGUGGCCAGCAGCAGCUUAUUUGGAUCUAAAGUGACUAGAAGCCCUAAAACAGAUCAUCCUGACAGGAGCUCAAAACACAGAACUGAU